GGGCCCGUAGCUCAGCCCGGUAGAGCGCCCGGCUCAUAACCGGGUGGUCGGGGGUUCGAAUCCCCCCGGGCCCA
rnacentral:tRNA from 2 species